GAUGCUUUUUUUGUCUCCAUUUUUUCGCUUAUCCAGACAGUGAAAAGAUUGAUUAAUCGAGUCUGAGCUGAAAUGAAAACACAUUACUGAGUUGCCGAGAUCGGAAGAUUUCUGAGAAAAGAAGGGAAGACCAGCUGUUUAGAAAUCACAGCUGGAGAACAGGCAACACACACCCUUCCCCCCAAAAAAACCCACAAAAAAACCCAAA